GCAUGCGCGAAUCCCGACUGAUUAGUGACCCGGGGGGGUUUGCGGGAGUGCGCAGCGCGGCGGGACGCGAUUGGAGGCCCUUUUGGCUUGGAGGGCUUCGGCCUUCACGGCUGGCGCAGCCUGGAUUCCCGUCCGGAGGACCUGGCGGCACCCGGUGUUUGCGUGCCUGCGAGCAAGGGUUUGCUGGCCUAGACCUGAACUCUUCAGAUAAUCAGAGUGGAGGAAGUACAGCCAGCAAAGGGCGCUAUAUUCCUCCUCAUUUAAGGAACCGAGAAGCUACUAAAGGUUUCUACGAUAAAGACAGUUCAGGGUGGAGUUCUAGCAAAGAUAAGGAUGCGUAUAGCAGUUUUGGAUCUCGUAGUGAUUCAAGAGGGAAGUCUAGCUUCUUCAGUGAUCGUGGAAGUGGAUCAAGGGGAAGAUUUGAUGAUCGUGGACGGAGUGAUUACGACAGCAUUGGCAGCCGUGGUGACAGAAGUGGCUUUGGCAAAUUUGAACGUGGUGGAAACAGUCGCUGGUGUGACAAAUCAGAUGAAGAUGAUUGGUCAAAACCACUCCCACCAAGUGAACGCUUGGAACAGGAACUCUUUUCUGGAGGCAACACUGGGAUUAAUUUUGAGAAAUACGAUGACAUUCCAGUUGAGGCAACAGGCAACAACUGUCCUCCACAUAUUGAAAGUUUCAGUGAUGUUGAGAUGGGAGAAAUUAUCAUGGGAAACAUUGAGCUUACUCGUUAUACUCGCCCAACUCCAGUGCAAAAGCAUGCUAUUCCUAUUAUCAAAGAGAAAAGAGACUUGAUGGCUUGUGCCCAAACAGGAAAAUGGAAGGUAUGGGCGCCGCAAACAAUACCCAAUCUCCUUGGUAUUAGCACCAACGAGAGAGUUGGCAGUACAGAUCUACGAGGAAGCCAGAAAAUUUUCAUACCGAUCUAGAGUUCGUCCUUGCGUGGUUUAUGGUGGUGCCGAUAUUGGUCAGCAGAUUCGAGACUUGGAACGUGGAUGCCAUUUGUUAGUAGCCACUCCAGGACGUCUAGUGGAUAUGAUGGAAAGAGGAAAGAUUGGAUUAGACUUUUGCAAAUACUUGGUGUUAGAUGAAGCUGAUCGGAUGUUGGAUAUGGGGUUUGAGCCUCAGAUUCGUAGAAUAGUCGAACAAGAUACUAUGCCUCCAAAGGGUGUCCGCCACACUAUGAUGUUUAGUGCUACUUUUCCUAAGGAAAUACAGGUACUGUUUGAUGUUGCAAAUUUUAUUUAUUUAGAAAUUUGUUUAUCUCAGGUAAUAAUAAAAAUUUUUUUUCUUUCAGAUGCUGGCUCGUGAUUUCUUAGAUGAAUAUAUCUUCUUGGCUGUAGGAAGAGUUGGCUCUACCUCUGAAAACAUCACACAGAAAGUAGUUUGGGUGGAAGAAUCAGACAAACGGUCAUUUCUGCUUGACCUCCUAAAUGCAACAGGCAAGGAUUCACUGACCUUAGUGUUUGUGGAGACCAAAAAGGGUGCAGAUUCUCUGGAGGAUUUCUUAUACCAUGAAGGAUACGCAUGUACCAGCAUCCAUGGAGACCGUUCUCAGAGGGAUAGAGAAGAGGCCCUUCACCAGUUCCGCUCAGGAAAAAGCCCAAUUCUAGUGGCUACAGCAGUAGCAGCAAGAGGACUGGACAUUUCAAAUGUGAAACAUGUUAUCAA
rnacentral:sRNA from 1 species